rnacentral:rRNA from 1 species
UACGUAGGGGGCAAGCGUUGUCCGGAAUCAUUGGGCGUAAAGAGCGUGUAGGCGGCCCGGUAAGUCCGCUGUGAAAGUCCAGGGCUCAACCCUGGGAUGCCGGUGGAUACUGUCGGGCUCGAGUCCGGAAGAGGAGUGUGGAAUUCCCGGUGUAGCGGUGAAAUGCGCAGAUAUCGGGAGGAACACCUAUGGCGAAGGCAGCUCUCUGGGACGGUACUGACGCUGAGACGCGAAAGCGUGGGGAGCGAACAGG